CUUUAUUUUAAAGAUAGUGCUCUGUUACCUAAAAGCUCUAAACUAUGUGGGCUCAGCACAUAAGCAUUUACUGAAGAAUCAAAUAUGAUAUCAUCAACGGAGCUCAAAACUAAUUUUCUCUGCAAUGGGUCUCUGCUGCCAUCUAUUAUGAAGAUAUUCCAAUGGCUUCCUGAUUACCAUGACAUCUGACAUCACCAUUACAAUACUUAUUACAUUGGUUCUUGAAUGAUAUGUACUAUACCAGCUUGAUCAUGUUGAGAAAUGCAUCUUAAAACUUUACUUAGAACCUGUGAGUUUGCAAACUUCAACUUCCCUAUGGACAUAAUUGGUGUCCUGAAUGUGAUAUACCAAGUAGAUUUGAUUCAUUAACACAGAUGUCCAACAUACUAGAUUCCCUGGAAGGUAGCUGCUAUAGCAUAAAGGCUAUAAUAGGCUAUAAUAUACCAUAUCAAACUUUUACAGCUUUAUUUGAGGGAAAACGUCUACAAAUAUUUCAAUAGAGAGAAACCUCCUCACAAAUGCUUGAAAAAAAGAAAUUAUUCCAGUAUGUCUCCUUAUAAAGUACUCAAAU